rnacentral:ncRNA from 2 species
CGGUAAUCUCGUCUGGCCAGUCGAACUCCACCUCAUGGAGCAGGGAACCCGGUGCGAAUCCGGGACUGACGCGCAGCGGUGAGGGUGACGGGCGGACGUGUUCCGGGACCGAUGUCCCGGGGCGGCCACUGGGCGGGGAGCCCGGGAAGGCGUUCCGCACCGGUCGACCCCGAGUCCGAAGACCUGCUGGCGCUGGCGGUGACGG